ACGCACGCUGGCGGCGUGCCUAAUACCUGCAAGUCGAGCGGACGAAUCGAAAGCUUGCUUUUGAUUCGUUAGCGGCGGACGGGUGAGUAACACAUGGGCAACCUGCCCUGUAGACGGGGAUAACACCGAGAAAUCGGUGCUAAUACCGGAUAACACGAAAUGUCGCAUGACGUUUCGUUGAAAGACGGCGCAAGCUGUCGCUACAGGAUGGGCCCGCGGCGCAUUAGCUAGUUGGUGAGGUAACGGCUCACCAAGGCGACGAUGCGUAGCCGACCUGAGAGGGUGAUCGGCCACACUGGGACUGAGACACGGCCCAGACUCCUACGGGAGGCAGCAGUAGGGAAUCUUCCGCAAUGGACGAAAGUCUGACGGAGCAACGCCGCGUGAGCGAAGAAGGCCUUCGGGUCGUAAAGCUCUGUUGUUAGGGAAGAACAAGUAACGCAGUAACUGGCGUUACCGUGACGGUACCUAACGAGAAAGCCACGGCUAACUACGUG
rnacentral:rRNA from 1 species